rnacentral:rRNA from 1 species
UUGGAGGGCAAGUCUGGUGCCAGCAGCCGCGGUAAUUCCAGCUCCAAUAGCGUAUAUUAAAGUUGUUGCAGUUAAAAAGCUCGUAGUUGAAACUUGGGUCUGGCUGGCAGGUCCGCCUCACCGCGUGUACUUGUCCGGCCGGGCCUUUCCUUCUGGAGAACCUCAUGCCCUUCACUGGGCGUGUUGGGGAACCAGGACUUUUACUUUGAAAAAAUUAGAGUGUUCAAAGCAGGCCUUUGCUCGAAUACGUUAGCAUGGAAUAAUAGCAUAGGACGUGCGGUCCUAUUUUGUUUGUUUUUA